GCCAGUGCGACAUCCCCUAUAAAUACGCUCUGCACCCUUUGCCAUUCCUCACUCCUCGGCUGCUCACUAGGUGUGCUUACACUGGUUGAAGUAACUUUUCGGUGACAUCCAGAAAAGGUGGUCUCCUAUUCUUGGCUCUAGUGAGUCUUCUUGGAUCAGUUGCAGAAGCAAGACUUUCAGUACAAAAGGCCACGUGAAGGCCUUUCAACUGGAUCGCUGUAAAAAUGAAGGGAGACAUAAGAUGGUCUCGGGAUGUCCAGAGACAUGAAGAGACCGGAGCGGAAGGAGGUGUGCUUACAUUGGUUGAAUUAACUUUUCGGUGACAUCCAGAACAGGUGGUCCCCUAGUCUUGGAGCUAGUGCAUCUUCUUGGAUCCGUUGCAGAAGCAAGACUUUCAGUACAAAAGGCCACGUGAAGGCAUGUGAAACCUUGCUGUAGAGAAUGUUCACAGCCAGCCUUGUGUUGAUAGUCAUGAGAGCAAGAAGUCUUACAAGCAUUUUAUGAUCUUUGCCUUUUGGAGGCUGGUUUCCUCAAGGAUGAGGAAGAGCUGUAGACUGACUUGAAUGCAGCAGUGAAGACUCUUGGGGCCCAGAAGAACAAGCCUAUGUGGAAGUGUUUGCUCUCAAAUUCUGUGCUUUUGGAUGGUGACCGGAGAGCCAAUGGACAACUCAUGAAUAUAAAUAACUGAUAUGUGGCAAUAAAUACUAAAAUAAA